UACGAAGGGGGCUAGCGUUGUUCGGAAUCACUGGGCGUAAAGCGCACGUAGGCUGAUUGGUCAGUUGGGGGUGAAAUCCCGGGGCUCAACCUCGGAACUGCCUUCAAUACUGCCAGUCUUGAGUCCGAGAGAGGUGAGUGGAAUUCCUAGUGUAGAGGUGAAAUUCGUAGAGAUUAGGAAGAACACCAGUGGCGAAGGCGGCUCACUGGCUCGGUACUGACGAUGAGGUGCGAAAGAGUGGGGAGCAAACAGG
rnacentral:rRNA from 1 species